GUUACUAUUGAUUUUCAGAGCGCAUUUUGAAAAAAAUACAAUUUCCACACCACCUGGAGAGCCAACGAAAUAAACGGCGCGUUGAUCUUUCUUUGUCGAGUUGCGACACCACCGCCUUUUAUUUGUAUGCUAGAUGCAUAUUUCACAUAUGAUAGACACUUUCAAGCACCAUUUCCUGUACUUUGCUGUUCUUAAUGAUCCAGAAGUUGCGAUUUCUUUUUGGGCACCUCAUAACCGUUAUUUAGCCGUAAAAGAAAAGGCGUGUAAUGAGUCUGACAAAUCGCAUCGCAGAUGAUGCAGACGACAGGACAAUGCAAAAAACAUCCGAGCUUUGCGCAAGCGGAAAAUUGCUAAUUUAGGUAUUUUGUAAAAAUGUGAAACGGAACGGCGUGAUUUUAGUCAAUAGGAGUCUGACACUCCCUCUCGUCUCGCCCAAGGCGGGAGAAACCACUGGAUGAUUUUCCCCCAUUAAAAAAUGCUAUUUGUUUGUAGGCAGACAUUGUUGUUCUUCUAUUUCUAUGUGAAACUACGUGAGAUUACAACAACAUUCCAUGAUUGUGCGCCUGUUUUUGUGUGCAACGGCUACUGGAGUUCAAAUUGUUUUAUUUACUCACAGAAGACUCUAUAUUUCCACGAAGUCAAAGAGAAAUAAAACCUAGUCCAGUAUAAUAUACCAGUUCUAAGUAUUUUGAGGUACCUUUAAAAAAAUAUUGUCAUCAGUUUCAUUAUAGCCAAGCCUGGAUUUUUAAGCAUUCUCUUUUCGAAUUGCGACUAUGGUACCCUAAGCUAUAAUCAUUAUAUAUAAUGAAAAUGAGUUUUUUGUGUAUUAUAUUGAAGUAUAUAUAUUUUUCGCCCCUUGUAGACGUAAAUUCAAUUUGCACUAUAAAAUAAUGAAUAAAAUAACCACAUCCUUGCAAAUAAAUGGAGUUAGGCCAAGAAGACUUGAAAUUGAAAGUGGCAUCAUUGGUCUCGCAGUGAACAGAAAGAAAACUUAGGUGAUGAUAGUGGAUCGAGGCGGAAUACUAUCUGGAAGUCAUCGGAGAGGCCUUAGUUCAGCAGCGGACGUCUUGUGGCUGAUAUGAUAACGAUAUCUAUUUAUUGCUGUCUGAUGUCAAAACAAAUCGGAAUCUUUAAAAAGGUUUGUAGAAGCAGAAAAGUAUAUUUUUGAUUACCAACUACCUACCUAUUGACUUAAAUACUGUAGAUACAACCAUCGCGUGGUGUACAAAGAGAACCUAUCUUUCCUAAAUGAAAUCGAGUGCAAACAUGCUUUCAGGCACAUAAAAGAGAUUUCACAGUCCGUUUGUUCACUUUAGUAAUGACUAGCCUUUUAUAUACUGGGUGUGCGACUUGUGAUGUCAAAAUAAAAAGACAUAUUGAUUUGAAAUAAAUAGUCUUGGACAAGAAAUUAGUAAUCGAAUACCUAAUUGAUUAUUUUCAUUGUAUAAUAGAGUUAAAUAAAUAAAUGAUACUGGAGAAGGAGUAGGGAUAGAGUUAAGAGAUUAAAUAAAUAAAAGAUUUAAUAAAUUUAAUAAUUUUUAUUGUCAUAUGUAGGUAAUAACCUAAAUUACUAUGAAACAAAUUUUUAACUACAUUUGCUAAAAAUCAGUAUAUGCAGUUGUAUUACUCGAGCGGUUGUCACUUAGUUUUUCACUUUUUAUAUAAUGUAUCUAAUUAAAACAAA